rnacentral:rRNA from 1 species
GAUGAACGCUGGCGGCGUGCUUAACACAUGCAGGUCGAACGGUGAAGCCAAGCUUGCUUGGUGGAUCAGUGGCGAACGGGUGAGUAACACGUGAGCAACCUGCCCUGGACUCUGGGAUAAGCGCUGGAAACGGCGUCUAAUACUGGAUAUGAGCCUCUUCCGCAUGGUGGGGGUUGGAAAGAUUUUUUGGUCUGGGAUGGGCUCGCGGCCUAUCAGCUUGUUGGUGAGGUAAUGGCUCACCAAGGCGUCGACGGGUAGCCGGCCUGAGAGGGUGACCGGCCACACUGGGACUGAGACACGGCCCAGACUCCUACGGGAGGCAGCAGUGGGGAAUAUUGCACAAUGGGCGAAAGCCUGAUGCAGCAACGCCGCGUGAGGGAUGACGGCCUUCGGGUUGUAAACCUCUUUUAGCAGGGAAGAAGCGAAAGUGACGGUACCUGCAGAAAAAGCGCCGGCUAACUACGUG